UACAGAGGAUCCGAGCGUUAUCCGGAUUUAUUGGGUUUAAAGGGUGCGUAGGCGGGCUAUUAAGUCAGUGGUGAAAGCCCCAAGCUUAACUUGGGAACUGCCAUUGAUACUGAUGGUCUUGAGUACAUUUGAGGUGGGCGGAAUGUGUCAUGUAGCGGUGAAAUGCUUAGAUAUGACACAGAACACCGAUUGCGAAGGCAGCUCACUAAACUGUAACUGACGCUGAGGCACGAAAGCGUGGGGAGCAAACAGG
rnacentral:rRNA from 1 species